GAAAGAAAAGAGAGAGAUCUGAGAGUGAAGCUGUGACAGGGAAGGGAGAAGAGGAGAGGGAGGAGCUGCGCCACCACUGCGGGCCUUGGGCUCGCCGUUCAUGCCCGUCACGUUGUCGCCCAGCUGCGUCCAACCCACUCCCAGUAGCCGCCAUCGUCGCCAACAACAGAGGAGAGAGAAAGAGGCGAACGCGAGGAGAGAGAGAGAGAUAAGCCGUGCCAGCCCCUUGCUGCCAUGCCGCAUCGCUGUCCAAGGGAGGAGGAAGGCCGCGCAGCUAUUGCGAAGCCACCGUCUCCGUUAGUUGCUCAGCCUUGUCUCUGAUUUUGGUUCCCCUUUUGUGUGCCGAAAUCGCUGCUGCCGUGAUGGUGGCCGUGGGGUUGCAUGUGCUUAAACAAAGCUGUUACUGCUGCUGCUCCAUUCCUCUGUUCUUUUCAACUUUUAGGUUAUGCCAAUACCACUACAAAUUGUUCGAUGGCAUUGCUAUUAAUGAUUCGGUUUAAAGCUGUUGCUGCUGCUGCUGCUGCGAGUUAAAACGAAGUUGGAGUCACGCCUAACCUUGUGGGUUUCGACUAACUGAGUGACAGGCUCGGAGACUCAGUUUGAAGCCGCGGGCGAUUAGGAGUUUUAUUUAAGUUAAGUUUAUGUGUCGAGUUAUUUUCAUAUAAUUCCCUCGCCUUUGUUAUUUAAGAUUUUAUUUUAUACCGAGGGAUAGGAAUUGUAUCUGAAUUUCUUUUGAAUUUUUUUUGUAUAAUAUUUAUCAUUAUUACUAAUUAAGGGAUUACUAUUACCUGUGUGUUCUUUGAUGAAUGAUUUUGAUUAAUGAGAAACAAUAUUUUCUGGCAUUUUCUUAAAAAUCGAAAAGCGGUAUCAAACUAAAGGCUCAAUAUUAAAUAGUAAAUAAGGAAAACAGGUCAGUAACGCCUUG